GGAUAGUUGUCAGAGUGGUUGAAUGUGCUUGUUUGCUAAACAAGUUAGCUUUAUGGCUACGGAGGUUCGAAUCCUUCACUAUCCG
rnacentral:tRNA from 3 species